rnacentral:tRNA from 1 species
GGGCCCGUAGCUCAGCAAGGAAGAGCGCCGGACGCGGGACCCGGGGGUCGCGGGUUCGAAUCCCGCCGGGCCCGCCA